AUACAGAGGGUGCAAGCGUUAUUCGGAAUUACUGGGCGUAAAGCGCGCGUAGGCGGAUGAUUAAGUCAGUUGUGAAAGCCCUGGGCUCAACCUAGGAACUGCAUCUGAUACUGGUCGUCUAGAGUUUAAGAGAGGGAAGUGGGAUUCCAGGUGUAGCAGUGAAAUGCGUAGAUAUCUGGAGGAACAUCAGUGGCGAAGGCGACUUCCUGGCUUAAAACUGACGCUGAGGUGCGAAAGCGUGGGUAGCGAACGGGAUUAGAAACCCUAGUAGUCC
rnacentral:rRNA from 1 species